AGAGUUUGAUCAUGGCUCAGGAUGAACGCUAGCUACAGGCUUAACACAUGCAAGUCGAGGGGCAGCAUUGGAGUAGCAAUACUUCAGAUGGCGACCGGCGCACGGGUGAGUAACACGUAUCCAACCUGCCGCUUACUCGGGGAUAGCCUUUUCGAAAGAAAGAUUAAUACCCGAUGGUAUAAAGAGUUCGCAUGUUCUCGUUAUUAAAGAAUUUCGGUAAGCGAUGGGGAUGCGUUCCAUUAGAUAGUUGGCGGGGUAACGGCCCACCAAGUCUACGAUGGAUAGGGGUUCUGAGAGGAAGGUCCCCCACAUUGGAACUGAGACACGGUCCAAACUCCUACGGGAGGCAGCAGUGAGGAAUAUUGGUCAAUGGACGAGAGUCUGAACCAGCCAAGUAGCGUGAAGGAUGAUUGCCCUAUGGGUUGUAAACUUCUUUUAUAAGGGAAUAAAGUGAGGGACGUGUCCCUUUUUGUAUGUACCUUAUGAAUAAGGAUCGGCUAACUCCGUGCCAGCAGCUGC
rnacentral:rRNA from 1 species